rnacentral:rRNA from 1 species
GCCUAAAGCGUCCGUAGCCGGCUAUGUUAGUUUUCGGUUAAAUCCAUGUGCUUAACACAUGGGCUGUCGAAAAUACUGCAUAGCUAGGGAGUGGGAGAGGUAGACGGUACUCUGUAGGAAGGGGUAAAAUCCUUUGAUCUAUAGAUGACCACCAGUGGCGAAGGCGGUCUACCAGAACACGUCCGACGGUGAGGGAUGAAAGCUGGGGGAGCAAACCGGAUUAGAUACCCGGGUAGUCCCAGCUGUAAACUAUGCAAACUCAGUGAUGCAUUGGCUUGUGGCCAGUGCAGUGCCGCAGAGAAGUCGUUAAGUUUGCCGCCUGGGAAGUACGUACGCAAGUAUGAAACUUAAAGGAAUUGGCGGGGGAGCACCACAAGGGGUGAAGCCUGCGGUUCAAUUGGAGUCAACGCCAGAAAUCUUACCCGGAGAGACAGCAGGAUGAAGGUCAAGCUGAAGACUUUACCAGACAAGCUGAGAAGUGGUGCAUGGCCGUCACCAGCUCGUGCCGUGAGGUGUCCUGUUAAGUCAGGUAACGAGCGAGAUCCUUGCUUCUAGUUGCCACCAUUACUCUCAGGAGUAGUGGGGCGAAUUAGCGGGACUGCCGCAGUUAAUGCGGAGGAAGGAGAGGGCCACGGCAGGUCAGUAUGCCCCGAA